rnacentral:rRNA from 1 species
AUGGGGAUCAAUGGAAUACUUGCAAGCUUGGGGCAAUUUUCGAUCCUUAGCACUUCAAGCAUCGGGAACUUUACAAAGCUAUCACAAGGCUCUCCCACAAUAUUUUCCACACAUAUCUGCAGGCUUGGUAACUUAAUCAACUCCAUUCUCUUCAAGCCAGGGAAAAUUUGCAGAGGGGUAAUGCAUCCACCUUCCACAUCAAGGUUAUUACAUAAUGUGGUCGUGUUAUCCAUCUUCUCCAAGGACAAAAUUUCUAGAGAGACCGAGAACCAUACUACAGCAGGAAUAUGCAAGAAAUUGUUUUCGAUCUGUCACUUGUUCUAUGGUGUACUAGACGGGAGAUGCGGCACACGGACUUGGGCAAGUCUCAUUAGUCUGGUACAACUGAUGCGAUGCAGUACUGGCUCGCUGCGUUUAAGGUAUCAUGCACAAUCUGAACUGGAUUAG